rnacentral:rRNA from 1 species
UGAGGAAUAUUGCGCAAUGGGGGAAACCCUGACGCAGCAACGCCGCGUGUGGGAAGAAGGCCUUCGGGUCGUAAACCACUUUUACUCGGGACGAAAAAGGGAUAUCGAAUAAAUAUCCCCGAUGACGGUACCGUGAGAAUAAGCCACGGCUAACUCUGUGCCAGCAGCCGCGGUAAGACAGAGGUGGCAAGCGUUGUUCGGAAUUACUGGGCGUAAAGAGUCUGUAGGUGGUUUGUCAAGUCUUUGGUGAAAGGCCGUAGCUUAACUAUGGGAAUGCCAAAGAGACUGGCAGGCUGGAGGCUGGGAGAGGGAAGCGGAAUUUCUGGUGUAGCGGUGAAAUGCGUAGAUAUCAGAAGGAAGGCCGGUGGCGAAGGCGGCUUCCUGGAACAGUCCUGACACUGAGAGACGAAAGCGUGGGGAGCAAACAGG